UACGUAGGGGGCAAGCGUUGUCCGGAUUUAUUGGGCGUAAAGCGCGCGCAGGCGGUUCUUUAAGUCUGGUGUCUAAGUGCGGGGCUCAACCCCGUGAUGCACUGGAAACUGGGGAACUUGAGUGCAGAAGAGGAGAGCGGAAUUCCACGUGUAGCGGUGAAAUGCGUAGAGAUGUGGAGGAACACCAGUGGCGAAGGCGACUCUUUGGCCUGUAACUGACGCUGAGGCGCGAAAGCGUGGGGAGCAAACAGG
rnacentral:rRNA from 1 species